rnacentral:rRNA from 1 species
GUCGGGUCUUAUUGACUUGGUAACGCAGCUAACGCGUGAAGUAGACCGCCUGGGGAGUACGGUCGCAAGAUUAAAACUCAAAGGAAUUGACGGGGACCCGCACAAGCGGUGGAUGAUGUGGAUUAAUUCGAUGCAACGCGAAAAACCUUACCUACCCUUGACAUGGCUGGAAUCCCCGAGAGAUUGGGGAGUGCUCGAAAGAGAACCAGUACACAGGUGCUGCAUGGCUGUCGUCAGCUCGUGUCGUGAGAUGUUGGGUUAAGUCCCGCAACGAGCGCAACCCUUGUCAUUAGUUGCUACGAAAGGGCACUCUAAUGAGACUGCCGGUGACAAACCGGAGGAAGGUGGGGAUGACGUCAAGUCCUCAUGGCCCUUAUGGGUAGGGCUUCACACGUCAUACAAUGGUACAUACAGAGCGCCGCCAACCCGCGAGGGGGAGCUAAUCGCAGAAAGUGUAUCGUAGUCCGGAUUGUAGUCUGCAACUCGACUGCAUGAAGUUGGAAUCGCUAGUAAUCGCGGAUCAGCAUGUCGCGGUGAAUACGUUCCCGGGUCUUGCACUCACCGCCCGUCAAAA